rnacentral:rRNA from 1 species
AUUGAACGCUGGCGGCAUGCUUUACACAUGCAAGUCGAACGGUAACAGGCCUUCGGGUGCUGACGAGUGGCGAACGGGUGAGUAAUGCAUCGGAACGUACCCAGAGGUGGGGGAUAACGCAGCGAAAGCUGUGCUAAUACCGCAUGUGAUCUGAGGAUGAAAGCGGGGGACCGAGCAGCAAUGUUUGGCCUCGCGCCUUUGGAGCGGCCGAUGCCGGAUUAGCUAGUUGGUGGGGUAAAGGCCUACCAAGGCGACGAUCCGUAGCUGGUCUGAGAGGACGACCAGCCACACUGGGACUGAGACACGGCCCAGACUCCUACGGGAGGCAGCAGUGGGGAAUUUUGGACAAUGGGCGCGAGCCUGAUCCAGCAAUGCCGCGUGCGGGAAGAAGGCCUUCGGGUUGUAAACCGCUUUUGGCAGGAACGAAACGGUGUCCGCUAAUACCGGGCGCUAAUGACGGUACCUGCAGAAUAAGCACCGGCUAACUACGUG